rnacentral:rRNA from 1 species
GAUGAACGCUAGCGGGAGGCUUAACACAUGCAAGUCGAGGGGCAGCAUAGGGUAGCAAUACUCUGAUGGCGACCGGCAAACGGGUGAGUAACGCGUAUGCAACCUACCCUGUACAGGGGGAUAACCCGGAGAAAUUCGGACUAAUAUCCCGUAAUAAUAUCCGGAGGCAUCUUUGGAUAUUUAAAGUUCCGACGGUACGGGAUGGGCAUGCGUAACAUUAGCUGGUUGGUAAGGUAACGGCUUACCAAGGCUAUGAUGUUUAGGGGUCCUGAGAGGGUGGUCCCCCACACUGGUACUGAGACACGGACCAGACUCCUACGGGAGGCAGCAGUGAGGAAUAUUGGUCAAUGGGCGCAAGCCUGAACCAGCCAUCCCGCGUGCAGGAAGACGGCCCUAUGGGUUGUAAACUGCUUUUCCAGAGAGAGAAACUUACGCACGUGUUGCGUGACUGACGGUACCCUGGGAAUAAGCAUCGGCUAACUCCGUGCCAGCAGCCGCGGUAAUAGUCACG